GAUGAACGCUGGCGGCGUGCUUAACACAUGCAAGUCGAACGAAGCACCUUGAUUUCUUCGGAAUGAUUGGUGACUGAGUGGCGGACGGGUGAGUAACGCGUGGGUAACCUGCCUCACACAGGGGGAUAACAGUUAGAAAUGACUGCUAAUACCGCAUAAGACCACAGUACCGCAUGGUACAGUGAUAAAACUCCGGUGGUGUGAGAUGGACCCGCGUCUGAUUAGCUAGUUGGUGAGGUAACGGCCCACCAAGGCGACGAUCAGUAGCCGACCUGAGAGGGUGACCGGCCACAUUGGGACUGAGACACGGCCCAAACUCCUACGGGAGGCAGCAGUGGGGAAUAUUGCACAAUGGGCGAAAGCCUGAUGCAGCGACGCCGCGUGAAGGAUGAAGUAUUUCGGUAUGUAAACUUCUAUCAGCAGGGAAGAAAAUGACGGUACCUGACUAAGAAGCCCCGGCUAACUACGUGCCAGCCGCCGCGGUAAGAC
rnacentral:rRNA from 1 species